AAAGCAGCAAAGAAAAUAAACAAACUGACUGAAAAUAGCAAAGAAAAGCGAUAAAGUCUCCUCCCACACUUAAAUCGAACAUUGUCCCCAAUGUUUCGAAAUAAGAUAAGGGGAGAGGUACCUGACAACCUACUGUUGACCACUGCUGCCUGCGCCAUCCUGAGGUGGACAACGGGAUCGGGUACGACGACGGUCUCUCUGAUCCAUCCUGG
rnacentral:lncRNA from 1 species